rnacentral:rRNA from 1 species
UGAGUAACCUGCCCUUAACUCUGGGAUAAGCCUGGGAAACUGGGUCUAAUACCGGAUAUGACUCCUCAUCGCAUGGUGGGGGGUGGAAAGCUUUAUUGUGGUUUUGGAUGGACUCGCGGCCUAUCAGCUUGUUGGUGAGGUAAUGGCUCACCAAGGCAACGAUGCGUAGCCGACCUGAGAGGGUGAUCGGCCACAUUGGAACUGAGACACGGUCCAGACUCCUACGGGAGCAG